ACUCUUUCUAGUCAGCCUUUUGGCUAAGAUCAAGUGUAGUAUCUGUUCUUAUCAGUUUCAGAUCAGAUAAUUGCUACUUGUGACGAAGCGGGGAGCUUGAUGAAAGUGGAGAAGCUGUGUUCCCAUUAGGGAAGAGCUGCCAACUUUU
ensembl:snRNA U2 U2 spliceosomal RNA